rnacentral:rRNA from 1 species
GAUCAUUAGAAUGAGAUCGGUGGGCGAAAGCCCGCUAACCUCCACCCUUGUGUAUCAUUCACUUGUUGCUUUGGUGGGCCGCAAGCCUAACGGUGAGCACCGGCUUCGGCUGGGGAGUGCCUGCCAGAGGACCCAACUCUGUAUUAUUAUGAAAUCUGAGUACUAUACAAUAGUUAAAACUUUCAACAACGGAUCUCUUGGUUCUGGCAUCGAUGAAGAACGCAGCGAAAUGCGAUAAGUAAUGUGAAUUGCAGAAUUCAGUGAAUCAUCGAAUCUUUGAACGCACAUUGCGCCCUCUGGUAUUCCGGGGGGCAUGCCUGUUCGAGCGUCAUUAUAACCAAUCACGCAAGUGGUCUUGGGGGCUUGCCGUCGGCAUCCCUUAAAAAUAGUGGCAGUGCUAUAGGCUCUCAGCGCAGUAAUUAUUUCGCUCUUGAGCCCUAGAACCACCCGCCAAAACCCCCUAACUUUUUUCAGGUUGACCUCGGAUCAGGUAGGGAUACCCGCUGAACUUAAGCAUAUCAAUAAGCGGAGGAAAAGAAACCAACAGGGAUUACCUCAGUAACGGCGAGUGAAGCGGUAACAGCUCAAAUUUGAAAUCUGGCUCUCGGGCCCGAGUUGUAAUUUGUAGAAGAUGCUUUGGGUGUGGCUCCGGCCUAAGUUCCUUGGAACAGGACGUCAUAGAGGGUGAGAAUCCCGUACGUGACUGGUCGCCUUCGCCUGUGUAAAGCUCUUUCGACGAGUCGAGUUGUUUGGGAAUGCAGCUCAAAAUGGGUGGUAUAUUUCAUCUAAAGCUAAAUAUUGGCCAGAGACCGAUAGCGCACAAGUAGAGUGAUCGAAAGAUGAAAAGCACUUUGGAAAGAGAGUUAAACAGUACGUGAAAUUGUUGAAAGGGAAGCGCUUGCAACCAGACUUGCAGGCUGCUGAUCAUCCGGGGUUCUCCCCGGUGCACUCGGUAGCUUUCAGGCCAGCAUCGGUUUGAGUGGUGGGAUAAAGGCCUUAGGAAUGUAGCUUCUCUCGGGGAGUGUUAUAGCCUAAGGUGCAAUGCCGCCUACUUGGACCGAGGACCGCGC